AAAGUUGCACAAUUUUCCUAAAUUCAAAAAUAUGAAAUCCGUCUUCUUUUUUUCCAUUCUUUUUCUUGUUGUCUCCAUGAAUUUCGGAAAUCAAGUGAUGAUGGCAGAGGCAAGAGAUUGUUUUAUAUAUCGACCUGGUUUCUGUCGUAGAUUUUGGGAGGUUUUGGUUUGCAAACUAUAUUGCAAAGGGGCAUGCAAAAAUAUACAUGCGACCGGAAAAUGUUGGGACGACAAUUCAUGUAAUUGUAAUUGUUGUCCUUAAAUUGUUACAAUUAUUAUAUUGUAAGGUUCCACCACUUGAAUAGUAAUAUGGUGAAUUAAUAAAUUAAGUGGUUGCAUA